rnacentral:rRNA from 1 species
UACGUAGGGUGCAAGCGUUGUCCGGAAUUAUUGGGCGUAAAGAGCUCGUAGGCGGUCUGUCGCGUCUGCUGUGAAAAUCAGGCUCAACCCUGGACCUGCAGUGGGUACGGGCAGACUAGAGUGCGGUAGGGGAGAUCGGAAUUCCUGGUGUAGCGGUGAAAAUGCGCAGAUAUCAGGAGGAACACCGGUGGCGAAGGCGGCGACCUGGUCCUGACUGACGCUGAGGCGCGAAAGCGUGGGGAGCAAACAGG